CCAAGGAGUCUAACAUGUAUGCGAGUCAUUGGGAAUGUAAACCCAAAGGCAUAAUGAAAGUAAAGAAUUCGAUUGCGAAUUUGAGGAGAGAUCAUGGCUUUACUUGUUAUUCCGCAAGGUUUAAUGAGUAAGGUAUGCGCACCUCCUGGACGUCUAUACCUCUGAAGGUUGGGCGUACCAAGAGCAUACACGUUGGGACCCGAAAGAUGGUGAACUAUGCCUGGUCAGAACGAAGUCAGGGGAAACUCUGAUGGAGGUUCGUAGCGAUUCUGACGUGCAAAUCGAUCGUCGGAACUGGGUAUAGGGGCGAAAGACUAAUCGAACCAUCUAGUAGCUGGUUCCCUCCGAAGUUUCCCUCAGGAUAGCUGGCGCUUGAUUAAAUCAGUCUCAUCCGGUAAAGCGAAUGAUUAGAGGCCUUGGGGCCGAAACGACCUCAACCUAUUCUCAAACUUUAAAUGGGUGAGAAGUCAGGCUUGCUUAAUCGAAGCUCUGACAAUGGAUGGUGAGUGCCAAGUGGGCCACUCUUGGUAAGCAGGACUGGCGCUGUGGGAUGAACCAAACGUUGGGUUAAGGCGCCCGAAUCGACGCUCAUCAGAUCCCAUAAAAGGCGUUGGUUGCUUAAGACAGCAGGACGGUGGCCA
rnacentral:rRNA from 1 species